rnacentral:rRNA from 1 species
AAUGACGGUACUUGAGGAGGAAGCCCCGGCUAACUACGUGCCAGCAGCCGCGGUAAUACGUAGGGGGCUAGCGUUAUCCGGAUUUACUGGGCGUAAAGGGUGCGUAGGCGGUCUUUCAAGUCAGGAGGGAAAGGCUACGGCUCAACCGUAGUAAGCUCUUGAAACUGGGAGACUUGAGUGCAGGAGAGGAGAGUGGAAUUCCUAGUGUAGCGGUGAAAUGCGUAGAUAGUAGGAGGAACACCAGUUGCGAAGGCGGCUCUCUGGACUGUAACUGACGCUGAGGCACGAAAGCGGGGGGAGCAAACAGGAUUAGAUACCCUGGUAGUCCACGCUGUAAACGAUGAGUACUAGGUGUC